GGGGAUGAAAGGAUUUCGACGGGGAAUCCGAGCCCGGAUAAGCGAGUAGCGGUGCGGAACCGCUUUAAAAGCCGCAAACUUAAAUAAUAAACGACACUAAUAAAGUUGCACUUGCUGCUUAACUAAGCAGCCGUCUCCGCCGGGAGUACUGCGGCCCGGUACGAGGCGUCGAUGAGCAGUGAACGUGAACGGAUGAUGACAGGUAAUCCGUCAUGAACAACCUGCCUACUGAAGCCCGGAGCCCGUUUACCGGCGCCGGGGAGAGGGAAUGUCAAAGGGUAAAAUACACUCGUAGAAAGUCCCUGCAGAGAUUUUUCGGACGCGGUUUCGAUUACCGCCAUCUCCACCA
rnacentral:tmRNA from 1 species